CAGAGAAAGUGAGAGUAACAGCUGUGUCGGAUAACAAAGAAGUGUUUGUGUCUCCAGCUGAGGCAAGUCCCGUGACCAAACUUUGGGGAACAUGUACAAACAGCAACAUUUUUCACUACAACACAGCACAUAGAAACAAGACCCCCAAAAUACUACUUACCUAUCUGGCUUUACUGCCAUUCCAUAUGAUUGCCUGUUCACUAACACAUGCAGCUCUGUGUUGUGUUAGCGUGUUUACCAUGUUUUGUGAGUGUUUCCUGACACAGUGUUUGACAAAAAAGUACACAGGCAUACUGGUGUGAAGCCCUUCCACUAGUUCUGGAAUAAUCUGAUGCCAAGCCAUACAGGAUUGGGUACAAGUAAAAAUGGUUCCCAUGUGCUCCCCUCAAAGUUUUGACCACACACAAUGCCAAGAAAGAAGGCUACCCUCACUGGCCACAGAGUGGAUAAAAGAAGGAGAACAUAAAGUGAAAAUUAAUUGAAUACAGAAUGCAGAUGAUGGCUCCCUUGGCCCAACUACAACAUCCAUGCAACGGCAACAGCUUUCAGCUACUGGUUCUAAAGUAAAGCUGCCAUAUGACACAGAAGCGGCUCUAGCCAUUUUGCUAGCCAAGGUGGAAAACAUUUUCAGCACUGCACCACCAGUGGGCCAAAAAAAGGCCAGCCAAUCGGACCGCAAGGGGGGAAAAGAGCACAAUCGCAUAGCAACUGUUCCACUGCUCCACCCCUAGAACCAGCCCUGACUUUGCACAUAUAAUUAUCUAUCAGUCAAGCUCGGUUGACGUGACAUACAGCUAGCAGUAACAGCAAGGUUGAAGAAAGAGUCACUGUCUCGCUACCAGUAGAGGAUGCUGCAAAGUGGAUCCAAAGAGCUAACAAGACAGCAGGAAGACUGCAAAGGAAGGAGUAUCAAGGGGAAGACCAGCAGUGCUUCUCUGACACCAGCUUCUUGGUGAUUGGCUUUAUCUUUGUGGUGGACACCUGCAACAUGGAAUUUUCAGAAUUACCCUGGGGAUAAGCAGCACUGCAGGGUACACAUACAGGAGGCUCCUGACCCAUGGGAGGAGCAAUGCAUCCAAGAUGGACCUCGAGUUGUGGCCCAGCCUUGAGCAAAAUUGGGAAUAUUUCCUGUUCUGUUGGGAUGAGAAUAAGUCCGCUACUGGGAUUCCCCCUACUUGAAACUCUAGUUUUAGAAUAGCCAUGUUGAGAGAUUAUUCGUGGUUAGAAUGGAAUGAGCUGCUCAGUCAGUCCACUAAAUCAUGGUGAGCCCCUGGUAGAUGUGAUGCUAUGAGAGUCAGGGAAUUCUGUAUGCAGCAAUUCCAAGCCUGACUGCCCCCUGGAAUAGGCUGUUUGAUCUGGUGUCCCCUCUUCAUGGACAAAAAGCAGUGAUGUGGUGUUGUAGGUAAACACCUGGAUAGUCCUGCCCUGUAUAUGUGGCAAAAACUGGCGUCAGGCUCUAGUGAUCGCCCAUAACUGUAAGAUAAUAUAUGUCUGGCCUCUUGAGUGGCCCACAAGCCCUGAGCUUCCAGGUUUCCUAGAUGCGCUCCCACCCAGUGGUUGAAGCAUCCAUUACCAAAGUCAAGAGGGGAGAGCUGGGGAGAACAGGACUCCUGUGCAAACAUUGUCUUUGUCAAUCCACCAAACCAAGGAUGAUAGGAUCUUGUCUGGGAUAGACACUAGUCUGUCCAGGUGAUGCACCUCAGGGCAGUGCACUGACUUGAGCCAUGUCUGUAAACCUCUGAGAUGCAGCCUGGCAUAUGGGGGAGGGGAGGAGUUAGGAAUCCCCAAUGACAGAAGCCACAGUGAGCUAUGCAUGGUUACUCCCAUCGACAUGACUCUGGCAGCUGAGUCCACAGCAUUCAGGGAACCCUGCAGAGCUGACCUUGCAACCACCUGACCUUCCACCAUGAGGAACUAGAACUCGCCUUCAGACAGCCCAUUGGUGAACUUGGACAUAGCAUCCCAGUUUGCAUAAUCAUAAUGGUUCACUAUGCGGAACGGUAA